GGAGUUCUCCGAGAGGAAAAGAAGCAGGAAAUCCCAGAGCUUCAAACUGGUGAGCCGAGAUUAUCACCACGAGGUGUAUAAGAUCCCAGAAUUCAGCAACGAUGUUAAUGGGGAGGCCAAAGAGACACAGCCCAUUUUUUUAGGUAGGUUCCUAUGUCAAUUAAUACCUCAGCAAAACAUCGUGACCAUUUGCAAUUAGGGGGAAAAAAGGAAAUUGUUCAGGAACGGGAAAUGUCUGCCAUUGCUUAAUGUAUGACAUUCUUUUCAAGACCUUUUAUUUUACAGAUUGCCAAUAUAUCCCUUAUUAACAUUGCUAAAAGUUGUAAUUUCAGACAUAAAUGUUUAUUAGUGUCUACACACAGUGCUAAUUAUCACUCACUCACAGAGCCAGAUGCUGACUGUGCAGUUUUGUGGCUCUGCGCUCACCCCAUUUACAUUGCAUAUUCGUUGGCAUGCUUCACUGGCAAUAGUUUGUGUAAUUGGGGUAUUACAUCUUUGACAUCUGGAUAACAGAAAUUCAAUUUCCAGGAAGCUGCUAUUUGUUUGGUUUUGCUUCUGCCUUGGGUGGGAUAGAGGAUUAAUGUGCUGUCUUAUAAUGUCCCUUCACCUCUGUGGCCCAGUUGCUAAUCCUGCCAUGACAAAAUUAAAUUAAAUCUACAGUCAAAAAGCAUAAGGAAAAUAAAAGUGUGACUGUCUGCCUAACCAGCUCUUGAUAGUGCUAGUUAUCAUCAAGCAGCUCCUCAUUUUCCUGACUUUGUGCUCCUUUCACACCAGCAUUUUGGGACAGGGGGAACAGCAUGCUUUCCUCUUACCAUCCUUGUUCCCAGCUCACGUCAGGGAUGAGCAGAGCUAAAACAGCAUUUCUGAGACUUUCCAGCAAGUGUAGCUGCAUGAUGGGUGGGUAGGUAGCCACAAACAUUGCCACCUUUUCCAUGUGCAGUGUUGGUGCAAAUACUGUACAGGAAAGACUUUGGAUGUGCAGUUUUUUAUUUGCACACAAUCAGCC
rnacentral:lncRNA from 1 species